UGGUUAUCUGGGUGUUCUAGAAUGGAUUUUGGGAAAGAAAGAUGCCAUGUGGAUAGGGUUCCUCACUAGAACAGUUCUGGAAAAUAGCACAAGGUAAAGUGUUUCGUUGCUUUACUAUUAAAUAUUUAUUUUAAAUUACUCAUAUUAAAAAAUAAAAAUGUUUGUCAAGCUCCAGCUUAACAAUCCUUUGAGGAACUACUGCAGAAUUUCUUAGGUGAACCUCUGACACUCAUGUGGAAUUAUUCAUGUUUUCUUUGUGCAGAUUGUGUGUUUUAUAGCAAAUAAAUGAAUUACUUAAAAAGCACUAGGGAUACUGACAUUAUGAAAGGCACCUGUGAAUAUUUUUGGUGUACAGAAAAAAAAUCACCCACACACGAAAGAACAAUCAUACAGUAAAAUCUUCAUUUAAAUGGUAGUACAGACCAGGCACAGUGGCUUAUGCCUGUAAUCCUAACACUUUGGGUGGUGGGAUGGGCAGAUGACUUGCACCCAGGGGUGUGAGACCAGUCUGAGCAACAUGGCAAAACCCUGUCUCUAUAAAAAAUAGAAAAAUUAGCCAGGCAUGGUGACACGUGCCUGUAGUCCCAGCUACUCAGGAGGCUGAGGUGGGAGGAUCACCUGAGCCCAAGGAGGUAGAGACUGCAGUGAGCUGGGAUCAAUCCACUGCACUUCACCCUGGGUGACAGAGUGAGACUCUGUCUUAAAAAAACAAAAUAAAUAAAUACAAAAUGUAGUACAUAUUAACCUGUAAGUUAUAUCUUGCCUUGGUAUAGAAAUCUUACAAUAGCAAAACUGCCUUUCCUUCAUUCAGCCAGCACUGCGUCCAAAUAAAUGGGCAUCAAUCCUGUUUUUAAUACUUCCCAGGGAAUAAGAUUUAAUGUUAGCAGUGUUCUUUGAUAACCCACUUCAAUUUUGAAUAGUCCUAAUUUUCAAGAAGGUUUACUUUCUAUUCUCUAAGUCCUAUAUACUGUAAUAUUAUUUCCCUUUGUUCUGUUGUUGAGUGAAAGGCAUGGACAGUGAGGGUGGAAAAUGAUCUCUUGAGGCCACUUUGUUUCUCCUUCAGAUUAGAGGGGCUUCCUAAGAUUCCCACUUCCCAUCUCCGUGUUCACCAUACACAGUCAGGGAUUGCUUUUCCCAGUGUCAUUGCUCACCAUCCUUUUUUAAAAAACACAUUGUGGCUGGCCGUGUUGGCUCAUGCCUGUAAUCCCAACACUUUGGGAGGCGAAGGCAAGAGUAUCGCUUGCACCCAGGAGUUCGAGACCAGCCUGGGCAACAGAGUGAGAUCCCAUCUCUAAAAAUAAAAAUAAGUAAAUAACACAUUCCUUAGAUACUUGUUUUCCUUUAGUUUCUACAGAGCUAAACAUUUCCAUUCUAAGUCAUCUAAAAAUGUUUCCCACCAUCAUCCUCAGCAAACUAACACAGGAACAGAAAACCAAACACUGCAUGUUCUCAGUCAUAAGUGAGAGCUGAACAAAGAGAGCAUGUGAACACAGGGAGGGGAACAUCACACACCAGGGCCUGUCGGGGAGUGGGGUGAAAGGGGAGGGAGAGCAUUAGGACAAAUACUUAAUGCAUGUAGAGCUUGAAACCUAAAUGAUGGGUUGAUGGAUGCAGCAAACCACCAUGGCACAUGUAUACCUGUGUAACAAACCUGCACAUUUAGCACAUGUAUCCCAGGACUUAAAGUAAAAUUUAAAAAUAAAGUUAUUUACUAAAAUAAAACGCUUUAUCUUUCUUUUUAAAUGUUUCUGUAUAGUUAUGAAGAAGCCAAGAAUUUAUUGACCAAGACCAAGAUAUUGGCCCCAGCCUACUUUAUCCUGGGAGGCAACCAGUCGGGGGAAGGUUGUGUGAUUACACGA
rnacentral:sRNA from 1 species